CCAAAAGAUAAAUUAUCAGAUGGUAGCGCACCCACAGGGUUUCUCCAUAGAUUCUCCCCUCCCAUCACUCACACCAUAGCCAUGGAAGAGUACCACUAUUAUUUCCUCAUUUUGGAGGGACCUACACAAAAAAAUAUCCACUGUUUCAUAUAUCCAUUACAUAUCCCUCCUAAUUUAAAAAUAUAAGAUUCUCUCAUUAAACAUCUCCUAAAUGCUGCAAGAUCCCUUAUCCAGG